CAGUGAGAUCAACUAGCAGGGGCUUGUGCUGAAGAUCUGAAAAAGACUUUAAAAAUCACCCUGAUCUAUUUCCCCCCAAAAGAAGCCUACACUCUAAAAGAAGACAAAUGGGCAUAUGAAUCUGCAUUCUUCCUGAUGUGAUAUAUACCAGAAGAAGAGAAUCCAUGCGCUGGAUUUGACACAAGACUUGGUGCAUUCGGACCUGAAAUCCAGGAAUCAUGAUGCAGUGGCUAUUCGCUUUUGUAACCAGAAGGUAGAACAUGCAUUGCUCAGGACAGCCAGGACGGGCAGGGACACCAGUGCUUCCUCCUUUCUAUGACACUAUGGAUCCAAGGGCAACUCAAGCACCUUGUGCUCCUAUUUUAAUUUUCUCUUUUCCCCAUCUGUGCCUCAUGAUAACAGGAAAUAGUUAAGAAUGAGGAUGUGCUACUAACAACAUAAUAAAGCCCGAACAUGAA